rnacentral:ncRNA from 1 species
AGAGGGGCAAGUAAUACCUUUUAAACUCUUAUAAUGUUCCCUGAUGGAUAUUGGGCCAAGUUAUAAGGAGAUGUUUAAAAGGUUUUGCCUCUCU